GAUGAACGCUGGCGGCGUGCCUAUUACAUGCAAGUCGAGCGAACAGACGAGGAGCUUGCUCCUUUGACGUUAGCGGCGGACGGGUGAGUAACACGUAGGUAACCUACCUAUAAGACUGGGAUAACUUCGGGAAACCGGAGCUAAUACCGGAUAAUAUUUCGAACCGCAUGGUUCGAUAGUGAAAGAUGGCUUUGCUAUCACUUAUAGAUGGACCUGCGCCGUAUUAGCUAGUUGGUAAGGUAACGGCUUACCAAGGCAACGAUACGUAGCCGACCUGAGAGGGUGAUCGGCCACACUGGAACUGAGACACGGUCCAGACUCCUACGGGAGGCAGCAGUAGGGAAUCUUCCGCAAUGGGCGAAAGCCUGACGGAGCAACGCCGCGUGAGUGAUGAAGGUCUUCGGAUCGUAAAACUCUGUUAUUAGGGAAGAACAAACGUGUAAGUAACUGUGCACGUCUUGACGGUACCUAAUCAGAAAGCCACGGCUAACUACGUG
rnacentral:rRNA from 1 species